AACCCCUGUGAACAUACCUUAAUGUUGCCUCGGCGGAUCAGCCCGCGCCCCGUAAAACGGGACGGCCCGCCAGAGGACCCAAACUCUAAUGUUUCUUAUUGUAACUUCUGAGUAAAACAAACAAAUAAAUCAAAACUUUCAACAACGGAUCUCUUGGUUCUGGCAUCGAUGAAGAACGCAGCAAAAUGCGAUAAGUAAUGUGAAUUGCAGAAUUCAGUGAAUCAUCGAAUCUUUGAACGCACAUUGCGCCCGCUGGUAUUCCGGCGGGCAUGCCUGUUCGAGCGUCAUUUCAACCCUCAAGCCCCCGGGUUUGGUGUUGGGGAUCGGCUCUGCCUUCUGGCGGCGCCGCCCCCGAAAUACAUUGGCGGUCUCGCUGCAGCCUCCAUUGCGUAGUAGCUAACACCUCGCAACUGGAACGCGGCGCGGCCAUGCCGUAAAACCCCAACUUCUGAAUGUUGACCUCGGAUCAGGUAGGAAUACCCGCUGAACUUAAGCAUAUCAAUAAGCGGAGGAA
rnacentral:rRNA from 2 species